rnacentral:rRNA from 1 species
GACCAACGCUGGCGGCAUGCCUAACACAUGCAAGUCGAACGGACAGAACAGGGAAGCUUUUCGGAGUGGAACUGGAAAGUUAGUUGCGGAUUGGUGAGUAACGCGUGGACAACCUACCUUGUAAAGGGGAAUAACCUCGAGAAAUCGAAGCUAAUACCCCAUAAUAACCUUGCUUCGCAUGAAGUAAGGAGGAAAGGCGGCCUUAGCGCUGUCGCUACCAGAUGGGUCCGCGUCUGAUUAGCUAGUUGGUGAGGUAAAGGCUAACCAAGGCGACGAUCAGUAGCCGGCCUGAGAGGGUGAACGGCCACAUUGGGACUGAGACACGGCCCAAACUCCUACGGGAGGCAGCAGUGGGGAAUCUUCCGCAAUGGGCGAAAGCCUGACGGAGCAAUGCCGCGUGAGUGAAGAAGGCCUUCGGGUUGUAAAACUCUGUCCUUAUCGAAGAGAGAGUGUUGUAGUAACUGACAAUACUAGGACGGUAGAUGAGGAGGAAGCCCCGGCUAACUAUGUG